ensembl:lncRNA
AUGCAACUACGCCCCAGUGCAACCCCACAACCAAGGCAACCCCAUGCCCCAAUGCAACCCCGUGUUGCCAUGCAACACUGUGCCCCAAUGCACCCCCGCGCCCCAUGCAACCGCAUACCCCAUGCAACCCUGUGCUCCAGUGCAACCCCACACCCCAGUGCAACCUCACACCCAGUGCAACCUCACAUUCCCGUGCAACCCUGCACCCCCAUGCACUCCCACACCCCCAUGCAACCCCAUGCCCCAAUGCAAUCCCACACCCCAAAUGCAACCCUGCACUCCAUGCAACCCCACACCCCAGUGCAACCCUGCACCCCCAUGCAACCUCGCACCCAAUGCAACCUCGCACCCCAAUGCAAUCCCACACCCCAAAUGCAGCCCUGCACCCCCAUGCAACCCUGUGCCCCAAAGCACCUCUGUGCCCCCACAUCCCACUGCAACCCUGCAUCCCCAUGCAAUCUGGUGCCCCAGUGCAACCCCGUGCCCCAGUGCAACCCCACGCCGGGGCAGUACCCAGGUGCCGCUGGGGCUGGGCAGGGCGGCGGCGCUGCCGGGCACAACUCGGCGCAUGCAACGCGGGGCGCGGGGGCCGGGGAGGAGGCGCGGAGGCGCUUCCUGUUGUGCGGCAGCUCGGCGCCCUUGUCCUCGCCGUCACCUGCCCGGCGGGGAAAGUGCGAGCGCGGCCGCAAACCCACAACCCCGGGGAGGAGCGAGGAGCGAGGAGCGCCGGCGAGGGCGGGCGGGCGGCAGGGCCCUGCCGGGAAGCGCCUCGCCCUGCUCCUCCCGGCCCCGGCACGCCGCAGCAUCCUCCGCGGUGCUCCCGAGCCCCCGCUCCGGCUGCUGGAGCCCGCUGCAUCCUCUCACCUUGUCUGGUGUCACGGUGUUCCAUGUCCCAUGUCCCAUGUCCAGCAUCGGGGUGUCCCAGCUCCCAUGGACCUUGUCCAGUGCCAGGGUGUCCCAUAUCCAGCACUGGGGUGUCCCAGCUCCCAUGGACCUUGUCCAGUGCCAGGGUGUCCCAUGUCCCAGGGCCAGGGUUGGAGCAUCCUGUGUCCCGUGCCCAGUGUCAGAGCAUCCCUCAUCCCGUGUCCCAUUCCCUGGGCUGGCACCCCGCUGGAGAUGCCGGCAAGCCCGUGGACUGAGACCCCUCGGCCGUCACGGGGUCUCAUCCCCCUCUCACCGCCCGCCGCCGCGCUCGGAGCCGCACCGAGGCGCAGCCGGAGCAGCUCCCGGCCCGGCGGCAGCCAGCCGUUCCCGAAACCCCGGGGCGCUCGGCUGGGCGCUCGGCACCGCGCGGCCCGAUUAAAAGGAGAAAAGGAAUCAAUUGCUCAUAAAACUAAGCGAGCGGCCGCAUCCGCCGGGGCGGCCGAGCCGGCUGCCAGCCCAUCGACCCGAGGUGGCGCGAGCGGCUGGCGAGCGGCCCGGCUCCCACGCCGGCGCAGGGUGUGGGGUCCUUCGUCUGUCCCAGAGGUGAUCCUGGGGACCCAUGGGGGCUGGGGACCUCACAGGGGCACUGGGACCCAUGGGGGCUGGGGACAUCACGGUGGCGUUGGGACCCAUGGGGGCAUUGGGACCCAUGGCGGCGGGGGACAUCACAGGGGCACUGGGACCCAUGGGGGCUGGGGACACCACGGUGGCGUUGGGACCCAUGGGGACAUUGGGACCCAUGGGGGCUGGGGACUCUGCAGGGGCACUGGGACUCAUGGGGGGCUGGGGACAUCACAGUGA